UAGUCCACGCUGUAAACGAUGAUUACUCGCUGUUGGCGAUAUACUGUCAGUGGCUGAGCGAAAGCAUUAAGUAAUCCACCUGGGGAGUACGGUCGCAAGAUUGAAACUCAAAGGAAUUGACGGGGGCCCGCACAAGCGGUGGAGCAUGUGGUUUAAUUCGAUGAUACGCGAGGAACCUUACCAGGGCUUAAAUGUAUAUUGACAGGUUUGGAAACAGAUCUUUCUUCGGACAAUUUACAAGGUGCUGCAUGGUUGUCGUCAGCUCGUGCUGUGAAGUGUCGGGUUAAGUCCCAUAACGAGCGCAACCCCUAUUCUUAGUUGCCAGCACAUUAUGGUGGGGACUCUAAGAAAACUGCCAGCGCAAGCUGUGAGGAAGGUGGGGAUGACGUCAAAUCAUCACGGCCCUUACGUCCUGGGCUACACACGUGCUACAAUGGUGCAUACAGAGGGCAGCUACCUGGUGACAGGAUGCGAAUCUCGAAAGUGCA
rnacentral:rRNA from 1 species